rnacentral:rRNA from 1 species
GACGAACGCUGGCGGCGUGCUUAACACAUGCAAGUCGAACGGAAAGGCCCUGCUUUUGUGGGGUGCUCGAGUGGCGAACGGGUGAGUAACACGUGAGUAACCUGCCCUUGACUUUGGGAUAACUUCAGGAAACUGGGGCUAAUACCGGAUAGGAGCUCCUGCUGCAUGGUGGGGGUUGGAAAGUUUCGGCGGUUGGGGAUGGACUCGCGGCUUAUCAGCUUGUUGGUGGGGUAGUGGCUUACCAAGGCUUUGACGGGUAGCCGGCCUGAGAGGGUAACCGGACCAAUUGGGACUGAGAUAAGGCACAGACUAGAACGGGAGGCAGGGGAGGGGAAUAUAACACAAUGGGAGGAGGCAAGAUGUAGCAAAGCAGCGUGGGGGAUGACGGCAUGCGGGUAGUAAACCGAUGUUGCCUGUGACGAGGCGUGAGUGACGGUAAUGGGUAAAGAAGCACCGGCUAACUACGUG